GUUUGACGUCCCAUUCUGCUUUCAAACUAAUGGUUCACUUGUUUGAGAUGCCUUCAUUUUGUAGUUGUGUAACAAGGGGAACUUUUGAUCUGGAGACGACUCGAGAUCACUAGAAUCAUUAUAUUCAGACAUCUCUUUUGCCUUUCCCCACAUUACCGUAUAGAAUCCAAUUGCAAUUAUCGUUGCUCCAACGAUGCUUCCCAAAUAAAGAGUAUCUCCUAAGAGAAUGACUCCCAUGGCAACUGCAAUCGCGAUGGACAAUGGUUUAAACAUUGCUACAUAUACUGGUCCUUUCACGCGCAAAGCCCAGGUGUGAAUUGUAUUAUUUAAGGAUGAACCCAAUAUUCCAGAGCAGAGGAUGGAGGCCAGUGCGAUAUCCGGUUUAAUUAUCCAUUUGUUUGAGUCAGGUUCAGAUAAAAAUCCUACAAUAGCAGCUAGGAUGCUAACAGUUAAG
rnacentral:misc_RNA from 1 species